rnacentral:tRNA from 1 species
GGGGAUUUAGCUCAGUGGUGGAGCGCUUGCCUACCAAGCACAAGGCCCUGGGUUCAGUCCCCAGCUCCG